rnacentral:rRNA from 1 species
UACGUAGGGGGCAAGCGUUGUUCGGAAUUACUGGGCGUAAAGGGCGCGUAGGCGGCACGGCAAGUCAGGAGUGAAAGCCCGGGGCUCAACCCCGGAAUGUCUUUUGAAACUGCCGAGCUAGAGUGCGGAAGAGGCAACUGGAAUUCCCAGUGUAGCGGUGAAAUGCGUAGAUAUUGGGAAGAACACCUGAGGCGAAGGCGGGUUGCUGGGCCGACACUGACGCUGAGGCGCGAAAGCCAGGGGAGCGAACGGG